rnacentral:rRNA from 1 species
UACGUAGGUGGCAAGCGUUGUCCGGAAUUAUUGGGCGUAAAGCGUGCGCAGGCGGUUUUGUAAGUCUGUCGUGAAAGCCCCGGGCUCAACCUGGGAAUUGCGAUGGAGACUGCAAGGCUUGAAUCUGGCAGAGGGGGGGUAGAAUUCCACGUGUAGCAGUGAAAUGCGUAGAGAUGUGGAGGAACACCGAUGGCGAAGGCAGCCCCCUGGGUCAAGAUUGACGCUCAUGCACGAAAGCGUGGGGAGCAAACAGG